CUGCCUUUAAAAAUCCUUUGGUGUAUAUCUGUAUAGAGAUCUAUAGUCUGAAAAACGUUUAGUUCUUGAUCACUACCCAGGGCUCACCACAACUUCAAAUGCAUAUUUCACAGGAUCUUGUGUACCUACGUUUGUCAUAACAGAAUAAACUUCCUUCUAAAGUUCACCAACCCUUGCUCACACUGCUAGCUAGUUAGGGCAAGGAUCGCUUUCUUUUAGAUUUAAUGGAGCUCAUAAAAUAUCACUCCACCUAAGUGAAUUCAACAAUUUACCGAGAAAACUUUAGGAGACUUUGUGAAGACUGUACCUGACUUUGAAAAUGACAAAUACUGUGCCCAAAACGUUUUAUCACUUUAUAUAGAAGGUCAAGAGAGAAAGCAAAACUCAAGGUAAAAUUCUGUCUGAGUCAUCAAAGUACAGGAGGCCAAUGAUAUACAUUCCUCUUCCCCGCAUUUCUUCUGGUUCUUCUGUAACUAUUAAUGUUUGAAUUAAAAUCUCAGAAAUGGCUUCAAUCCUCUGUUAAAAGAGAGCACGAGUCUCUCUGAUUUUAGAAGAAAAAAAUUACCAAAUUAAAGUAAAACAAAAAAAUUCUGGGCAAUUCUACCCCACAUUCUCUUACUACAUC
rnacentral:lncRNA from 12 species